CACUGUUGGUAAACCAUAUGAUUGUUUGCUUUAAUGGUAAGAGAAGUCAUCUCUGGAUUGCUUGUGGCAAAAAAUCAUAUGGUUUACCAACAGUGAACCAAACCACAAUUUACAUAUGGUAUUUGAGGUUUUUAACUAUGAAAAUCAAAGUCCAUAAAAUUUGACAAAACAAAGAAAUAAUUGAAACAAUGGCAAGAAAGGCCUUAGGCAUCUGCAUCAAUCAACUAUCAUAUCAUUCCUUAACU
rnacentral:misc_RNA from 1 species